rnacentral:rRNA from 1 species
CAGCAGCAGCCGCGGUAAUACAGAGGGUGCGAGCGUUAAUCGGAUUUACUGGGCGUAAAGCGUGCGUAGGCGGCUUUUUAAGUCGGAUGUGAAAUCCCUGAGCUUAACUUAGGAAUUGCAUUCGAUACUGGGAAGCUAGAGUAUGGGAGAGGAUGGUAGAAUUCCAGGUGUAGCGGUGAAAUGCGUAGAGAUCUGGAGGAAUACCGAUGGCGAAGGCAGCCAUCUGGCCUAAUACUGACGCUGAGGUACGAAAGCAUGGGGAGCAAACAGGAUUAGAUACCCCGGUAGUCCAUGUCUCUUAUAC